UUAAGCAAAGAAGAGCGCAGGGUGGAUGCCUUGGCACUAAGAGCCGAAGAAAGACGUGAUAAGCUGCGAAAAGCUGCGGGGAGAUGCAAAUAAUCCUUGAUCCGCAGAUGUCUGAAUGGGGAAACCCGGUACGAAGAACUCGUAUCAUCCAUACGCCAAUCCAUAACGUAUGGAGGGGAACCCGGUGAACUGAAACAUCUAAGUAGCCGGAGGAAGAGAAAGAAACAUCGAUUUUGUUAGUAGCGGCGAGCGAAAGCGAAAGAGGCCAAACCGGAGUGCGUGCACUCCGGGGUUCGGACCGCAUUUAAGAUUCAGUGAUUCUAGCAGAAAGGUUUGGGAAAGCCUGCCGGAGAGGGUGAAAGCCCCGUAAGCGAAAGGAGAACUGACUGAGCGGGAUCCAGAGUACAUCGAGACACGAGAAACCUUGAUGGAAUGAGCGGGGACCACCCCGUAAGCCUAAAUACUACUUAGUGACCGAUAGCGCAUAGUACUGUGAAGGAAAGGUGAAAAGGACCCCGGGAGGGGAGUGAAAGAGAACCUGAAACCCUGUGUUUACAAGCUGUGGAAGUUCUUUAAAUGAACAACCGCGUACUUUUUGUAGAACGGUCCGGCGAGUUGCGGAUACUGGCAAGGUUAAGCACUUAAGGUGCGGAGCCGAAGGGAUACCAAGUCUUAACAGGGCGUAAAGUCAGUAUACGCAGACCCGAAACCGGGUGAUCUAUCCAUGUCCAGGUUGAAGUUGUCGUAAAAGACAAUGGAGGACCGAAGCCACAUCCGUUGAAAAGGGUGGGCAUGAGGUGUGGAUAGGGGAGAAAUUCCAAUCGAACCCGGAGAUAGCUGGUUCUCCUCGAAAUAGCUUUAGGGCUAGCCUCGAUUUAGUCUUAUGGAGGUAGAGCACUGAAUUUCCGCGGGGGCGUCAAAGCUUACCAAAGAAUAUCAAACUCCGAAUGCCAUGUAGAUGAUGAUCGGGAGUCAGACUGCACGAGAUAAGUUGGGCAGUCAAAAGGGAAAGAGCCCAGACCACCGGCUAAGGUCCCAAAGUGCGUGUUAAGUGGAAAAGGAUGUGGGAAUUCGAAGACAACUAGGAUGUUGGCUCAGAAGCAGCCAUACAUUCAAAGAGUGCGUAACAGCUCACUAGUCGAGAGUUCCUGCGCCGAAAAUGUCCGGGGCUGAAACACGACACCGAAGCCGUGGACUCGCAAUGCGAGUGGUAGAGGAGCAUUCUUAAAACCGACGAAGCUGUACCGGAAGGAGCAGUGGAGGGAUAAGAAGAGAGAAUGCCGGAAUGAGUAGCGAGAGAAAGGUGGGAAUCCUUUCGGCCGAAUAUCUAAGGUUUCCAGAGUAAAGCUGAUCUGCUCUGGGUAAGUCGGGGCCUAAGCACAGGUCGCAAGACGUAAGCGAUGGAUAACAGGUUUAGAUUCCUGUACCACGCAUUAUCAGAACUGUAGGGACGCAUGUGGAAAGCACGGGCCGGGAAUGGAAAGACCGGUACAAGCGGGGUAGGUGUACAAUAGGCAAAUCCGUUGUAUAAUCCGAAGACGUGAUGUGGAGCGAAAUAAAGUAGUGAAGCGUGUGAGCCAUGUGCCGAGAAAAGCUGCUAUUGUGUAAUGCGUGCCCGUACCGUAAACCGACACAGGUGGAUGAGGAGAGAAUCCUAAGGCCGACGGAAGAAGCAUUGUUAAGGAAUUCGGCAAAAUGACCCCGUAACUUCGGGAGAAGGGGUGCCUGCGAGAGCAGGCCGCAGAGAAUAGGCUCAAGCAACUGUUUAGCAAAAACACAGGUCUAUGCGAAACCGAAAGGUGAAGUAUAUGGGCUGACGCCUGCCCGGUGCUGGAAGGUUAAGAGGAGAGGUUAGCGCAAGCGAAGCUUUGAAUUUAAGCCCCAGUAAACGGCGGCCGUAACUAUAACGGUCCUAAGGUAGCGAAAUUCCUUGUCGGGUAAGUUCCGACC
rnacentral:rRNA from 1 species